rnacentral:sRNA from 1 species
UUGACAGCUCUAGAGACAGAAUUCCUCUAUUCAUCCACAGAACAGGUAUGGCACAGGCAGCUGGUUUGCCCCCAGCUUUUGAAACUGACUAACCACUUUGAAGUUUGCCACUUCUGUUCAUAAUGCCAACCCUCAUUCAUCUCUGCCUGUGGAAACUGAUGAGGUUCUUGCAUUAUUACCUGUACCUUUAGACUACA